UACAGAGGGUGCGAGCGUUAAUCGGAAUUACUGGGCGUAAAGCGUGCGUAGACGGCUAUCUAAGUCGGGUGUGAAAGCCCCGGGCUCAACCUGGGAAUUGCAUUCGAGACUGAAUAGCUAGGGUACGGUAGAGGGAAGUGGAAUUCCGGUGUAGCGGUGAAAUGCGUAGAUAUCAGAAGGAACAUCAGUGGCGAAAGCGG
rnacentral:rRNA from 1 species